GCACGCCCGUCUAAAUUUGCAUGUCGCUAAGUGUUGUGGGAAGUCACCCUAACCGUAAAAGGCCUUCAGUGAUUUCAGAGAACCCUACAAUCAUCCUUCUGGAAUUCCAAAAUGAUCCCCUGCACCUUUCAUUGGAGAAGAAAAUUUGCAAAGUAACCUUGCUAGUGCUAAAGUAGAACAGCAUGGGGAUUGAACACACAACCUUGACGUAUCCAGCUGACACUAUGUAACCAACUGAACUACUCAGUCUGAGGCUCAGCUUUUGAGGAUCAAAAUAUAUGAAGGCCAGGCAUUAGUUGGUGUAUAAUUAAUGGUUAAAAAUGGGAUCCACUGGAGAAGAAAGACCUGGGUCUUCAGCACUCUGUGUGCUAGCCCAGAAGUGUUAUUUGAAAGCCUGUUACAUCUGCUGUAGACCCCCUAAACAAGUAGACUUGGAUUUGGACAUUCUCAGCAGGAAUGGUUAUAAGCUGAUAGGACCAUAAAGAGAUGAUGCCUGAUAGUUGAUAGAUCCUGUAGUUCAACUUUAUCCUAGAUAGAAGCUGGAUUCAUCUGACAUCAGAGAAAUGAAAUUUCAGGAGACCAAAACUAGAUCUGAGUUUCUUUAUAGAAACUUCUUUCCCAGCCUUGAAACUCUUGGAUGCUAUGAAUUCUAGAUAUACAAUAGAUGACGACAACAUUUUUCUUUUAUGUAUGAAGGUGUAGAUGGAAGCUGACUUCUCACCAAAAGUGGUUUAUAGAAUCAACUUAAAAACAUGAGGCAGCAAACAAAGGAAAGAGUAAUAUAUUUCUUUUAUCAUCCUUAGGUACUUUGCUAGAUUGCAAACUCCAUGAAAGCAGGAUAACUUCCCUAUCCUUAACACCUGGCCUAGAAUAAAUA